CAAGUACAUGCAGCGCCAGUCGUGGUGCCGCCCCGACGAGCACAUCCACGCCAUCGUCAUCGGCGUGCUCGGGCGCCAGGGCCCCGCGCUGCUCGACAAGUGCCUCGAGGUGUUCCACGACCUCCCCGCCGAGUCGCGCACCGCGCUCUCCUACACCUCCCUCAUCGCCGCCUACGCGCGCAACGCGCUGCACGAGGAGGCCCGCGCGCUGCUCGACCAGAUGAAGGCCGCGGGGGUCGCGCCCACCGCCGCCACCUACAACACCGUGCUCGCCGCCUG
rnacentral:lncRNA from 1 species